rnacentral:tRNA from 1 species
GGGUAGGUAGCCAAGUGGCCAACGGCAACAGACUGUAAAUCUGUCCUCUUCGGAGUUCAGUGGUUCGAAUCCACUCCUGCCCA